GGCCGCUCCACCUUCACGUGUGCAGCGCACACUUCUCUAUUCGUGCGAGCGCGUGUGUGUGCUUGUGUGCGUGUGUGUGUGUUGCGGGCCAGCGUGCUUUGCGUGCUGGCGCGGAUGUUCCACACUGCCUUCUUGGCGGCCUCCAAGAGGCAUUUUCGGUGGCGGUGUUGCCAAUGCACUCGCCUCCUCCCAUCGGAGCACUUCCCCAAGAGGAACGGGCCGCUCAACACGAUGGUCUGCGUGGACUGCAAGGAGAUGUGCUUUGGUUGUGGUUUGCGACAGCCGCGCAGCAGUUUCAGCGACGCAGACUCGAACAUGUGCGACCGAUGCUUGGCGAAGCAACAGGUGGCAAAGGAUAAUGUCUACUUUCGCUACCCGGUACUCAAGUACCGCGCCUGUCCAUUCAGCGUGGAUGAGGCGCGUGAAGAGCUUCGCAAAGAGCCGCCGCCGCCGCAUCGACUGCACAUGCCUCGAUAAGAUGCGUCGUUUGUUUUCUUUGUGGCCGCCGCGAUUGUGAUCGCCUCGCUGCGCAUGCGCUUGUGUACUCGACCGCCAAAGCAAAUACCCGCGUGCCGUUCCCAGGCGCUUCGGUGCUCGUGUCUACAGGUGAUGCACGACCACAGCGGCUCCUCCGUAUAUGCGCGUGUGCACGUGCGUGUGUGUGUGAGGGAGAGGGCUAGGCUUGUCGGGAUCAGCGCUUUCCUCCGUGGUUAGUCAGACCUUGCGUCUGCAACAGCGAUACGCUACAGACAAAAAGCGAUAGCAGGGCGUGCGAGACAGCCAGAGAGGCAUCGCGUGCUCUCCCGUCGUCGUCUAUUCCGUCGAAUGCCCGCUCUUUGUGUUUGGCUCGCCCCUUCUCCCUCCUCCCAACUGCGCUCCCCUGACCCGAUCUUGCUCUCUUCGCUCCGCUGCGUCUGCUGCUGCAUGUUCUUCAAUGUAUUGUGAUGGCAG
rnacentral:misc_RNA from 1 species